rnacentral:tRNA from 1 species
GUUCUCGUAGUUAAAUGGAUAUAACAGGCGCCUCCUAAGCGCCCGUUGUGGGUUCGAUUCCCGCCGGGAACGCCA